GUCAAGACAGAUGAAAGGACGGACAUCUUCUCUGUAUCUCGACCUCCACCAUCUAUGCUGUCACCGUGCCAACCUACGUUAUGAACACACCAGGCAAAUCCAGGAGAGCAUGGGUCAGAGGGAGUGCUGGUGCGGCCUUCGCGGGAUUGUAACCACAAGAAACACAUCACACCAGCAAACACACCAGCAUUGGUGCCACCAGCAGUUUAGAAGAGCCGUUACUGUAUCUCAACAGCAGAUAGCAGAGAGAGAGAGAGAGAGAGAGAGAGAGAGUCUGGCGAC